UAUGGUUACUUACAUUUGAUUGCUCAAACGGUAGGGCGCGUAUCGUGCCGAAUGUUCUAGUUCUAUCUAUGCAUGAGGAAAAGAAGUUGUUGAUCGUUGGCUUACUGUGGGCGUGGUGGGAUGCUCGUAACAAAGCAGAUGUGGGGGAGCAGAGGAGGACGACUGAAGAAGUUAUUUACAUAGCACGUUCAGUAAUGCAUCAUGAGGAGACAGUUGCGGACUCGAUGCAGGCAAGAGGCCAGGCUCGGAGCUGGACCCCGCCGCCGCCGGAUGUCUCGAAGAUAAAUGUGGAUGCUGCGUUCUGGAUGGAGGAAUUGGCAGGUGCUUGGGGCUUUGUUAUCCGUGACAGUGAUGCAACAGCAGCCUUGGCAGGGGCAGGGCGUUUGGCGGUGGUGAGCGACGCUCUGUGUUCAGAGACGCAGGCCUACCGUGCAGCUCUUGAAGCCGCGGCAUCCCAGGGUAUGCAGCAUAUUAUUCUGGAGACUGAUUCCCAGAUUUUAGUGAAGGCCCUGCAGACAAAUGAACAUGAUCCGUCUCGAGGAGGUGUGUUGUUCAGGGAAGCAAAGUUUGUCUUAGCUACGAUGCCUAGUUCAUGGUCGAUUGUCCACGUUAUUCGUUCUGGUAACUCUGUAGCUCAUGAUUUGGCUCGUCUUGGUCGUGGUCGAGACCCGGAUCAUCCGAUUGUUUGGAUGCAUCCCCUCCCAGCCGUUUGUAAGCGACUUGCUGGUCCGUGAUUCUACGUUCUUUUUCCUCGACACCUCCUCCCAUAAAGCUGCGCGAUCCAGCUCUCCAAUCUCCCCGUCGUUCUCAAUUCCACCCGAAACUCCGACGCCUCGCGAAAAAUCCCCCAAACCCCCGCUCCGCCGCAGGCAACAACCGGCGAGGAUCCCAUGACGCCGGCGCACACCUCCCGCAAGCGCGGCCCGCCGGCUCCACCUCCACCUCCACCCGCGGUCCGCCCCGCCCCGCCCGUCAAGCUCCCACCGCCGGGCUUCGUCACCGACCGCGCGGAGGCCGCGGCGCGCGUGGAGCGCCUGCUGCGCUACCAGUUCCGCGACCGCGCCCUCCUUGAGGAGGCGCUCACGCACCAGUCCUUCUCCGACACCGUGACCUCCUACCAGCGGCUCGAGUUCGUCGGGGACGCCGCGCUCGGCCUCGCCUUCACCAACUUCCACUACCUCACGAAUCCCACCCUCGGACCCGGCGCGCUAUCCACGCUCCGCGCCGCUAACGUCUCCACCGAGAAACUCGCGCGCGUCGCCGUCCGCCACGAUCUCUACCCGCUGCUCCGCCGCAAGUGCGCCCGCCUCGACCUUCUCGUCAGGGUAGGCCAGUUUAUUGAGUCAGUGAAGAUAGAGCUAAAAGAUGACCUUGCCACUGCACCCUAUGGUGGGAGUUUGGUUAAAGCUCCCAAGGUGCUUGCGGAUAUUGUUGAGUCCAUCGCUGCUGCUGUCUACGUUGAUUGCAAAUUUGACCUUGAGAAGCUUUGGAAGGUUACAAGGUGGCUCUUUGAGCCAAUUGUCACGGCAGAAACCGUAGAUGAACAACCUGUGACUACAUUGCAUGAGUUAUGCCAGAAACAUGGCAAAGUUGCACAGUUCAAGACAUGGCAGAGGGGUGGGAUGACAGUGGUAAAUAUAUUUGUUGGUGGGGAGAUGGUUGGGUUUGGCUCCUCGGAGCAGAAGGUAAUUGCUAAGCUCAAUGCUGCACGAGAUGCGUUAGGCAAGCUUGUCGGGGGUGCAAGGCAGCAAGUGUUGAUUACUGGGGUUGGCAAUGGAUCGGCGGAUGAGAUGGAGGAGCUCAGGGAGUGUAAACAUCAACUUGCUGAUCAGUGCAUUGGAAAGAAUUGGCCAGAACCCAUCUUUAAUUUGCUUUACAGGUUGGAUAAAGAAGGUGGCCCUGCACAUGAUAGGAAGUUUGUGUGCUCUGUUCAGGUAGAAACUCAAAAUGGCACUUUUGUAACGAUAGGUGAUCCUAUGUCAAGGGUAAAGGAUGCAGAGAAUUCUGCUGCGCAGAAGAUGUUGGAACUAUUGUUGCGGUUGUGAGAUCUUUUCAUGUACAUGGCUAGACCGUAUGUAACCUCCUUUGGGAAAAAACAUAUUUUAUUCAAGCAUACAUGGUAGACCUGUGGAACUGUGGAUUAUGUCGGCUUAAUACCAUUUUUUUUUCUUGAACAAGCUUAAUACCAUUUAUACUUGAGCAUUUGUAAAACCAUGUAUUUUUAGGAUGCGUAAAUCUAGACAACAUGGUGUUAGGUAACGUUUACUAUUUGGGAAACUUGCUUGACUAAUGAAACCAAUUGGAUAACUGUUUUAUAUUGCAAUAUCCAGUGUUGAUUGUUUUGUGGAUUUUGUUUGGAUCAUUUCAAAGAGAAAAAUACUUUAUUCUGCAGGGAAAGGACAUUGAGUCUUACCUUGUUUUUCUUGGGAAAAAAAGGGGUUUGGUGUGCUAGCUGUUCUUAUACUUUAUUCCUUAGUGAAGAUUCAAAUAGGCUGUGUGCAACCAAUGAUCUUUUUUGAAGAUUUCCUUGAGCUUUUGAGGAUUGUAUAGCUAGAUUGUCUUGAACAGUAUUUUCAUUAUAUUAUAUUUCAUAUAUAUUUUAUACUAGUAAUUAGUGGUUGAUGCAGUGUGUUGAUGGUCGCCUUAAUGCCCAAAAAUGACACUUCUGUGGUUGCAAUAUUUUGAAGGAAACUGUGUUUGUCAUGUUGAGUUGACUGUUAAUGCAGGGUGAUACUGUCAAUUAUUCAUUUGGGAAAUUUGUCUAGGGCACAUUACAUUUCCGUGACUUUGUCUGCAGGACACUAUAUUUUUUGUCUGUUGGACACUUGUUUUUUGUCCUACUGUCAAGAUUUUUUUUUUCAUUGUCCAACUGACAGUUAUUCAUUUUGGUUUCUCUAGCAUAUUCACUGUUGCAUGCUAUAUUUAUGUUUGUUUGGUGUACUUCCACAUUUUCUUUUUUUUGCUAGUGUAGUUUCACGCUGUCUUUUGUUCGUAUUAUAAAAUUUCUUUUCUAUUUAAAAAUAUCUGAUAUGUGUCACGCCAACUGUGUCCCACUUGUUUUAGCAUAAAUGUAACUUGCACAAUUUACUGGAAACAAUAGCGUUCCACUUGGUCAGGUAAUCCUGAAAGUUGGUUGCAAUAAUGCAAUGUGCCUUCCGGUGAUGCCAGCUGCUGUUUCCCUGCGGUGUUGGGAGUAUUGGUGUGUCCAAGUUUGUUAUGUCCGAAAGAAAUAGGUAUCCAUAAUCUCUAAAUAGUAGUCUUAAGUUCAUGUGUUUUUAGAACUUAAACUUAAGUAUGUAUUAAAUUCUAAUUUGAAUGAACUGAUUUUUUCCAAGAGUAUUUCAUUUGAAUGCCUUAAGAUAUGACUUGGUUUUGAAUUAUUUGCAAUGAUUGGACUCAUUCUAACCUUGCUCUGAUUAGAUUUUCAUGCAAUAAUGUUUUGGACGACAAUUGAGAUAAAAUAUGUUGGUGGUGUGGCGUGAGGAGCGUGGAGUGUGUAACAGUUGGUAAACAUUUAUUACAGCUUUAUUAAGGUUUCAUCAUUGCUUGUAUAAUUGUAUAAUAAGCUCAUAGUUCAUUGUUUACUGCUAUUAUAUCUGAUAUGGCAUCUCUACAUGCAGCAUUCUGUUUCAAAGUUACUAGGGUGCAUGUAAAUCUACAUUUUCGAAACUUCCCAAAUUAGCAAUCUUUUUUUCCAUUCUUUUCAGGCAUAUUUCUCAGGAUGCAUGGAUAGUCCGUAAGAUGAGAUGGGACAGUUGCCUGUUGAGAUCUUACAAUAGGCAAUUGAAGUCAAAUGUGGAGGAUACAUAGAAAACCUACGAAGAUGUUGGAACUUGAGAAAAGAUUAUCCUUUUCAUUAUCAGUGUGGAAGUUUGGAGAUUUGAAGAUUAGAUACAAACAAGAAUCUCCUCUUGUACUGCAUGGAAUCACUUCUAUGCUUGAAGGUGGAGAUAAGAUUAAAAAAUUGGAUGGACAUGAAGCCGAAAGGCAACUUUUCAUUAUUGUUUUGACUUGUGGAGCUAGCUUAAAAGAAAGUGUUGAUAUACUCUGUAUACAUCACCACAAUUGGCAAUUAUCUGAGUUCACGUUCGGGUA